GGGACUUAGAGAUAUAACCGAACGACUGAAAUCCACAACUUAACAGAAGUAACCAUGACAUUGACGAACGACGGAUACAGCAAGUGAUGACUUAUUCAUUGUUAAAGUCUGUUAUCUAUUUUCUGUGGUUCAUUGAUAAUGAUUCAUGUACCUUGUUUAGCUGGUUGCCUCUUGUUUAGGUGUUCCUCAUGAUUCAGUAAACUGUGACCUUUUGAGAACUCCUCUGUUCUGGGUGAUUAUUUUAUACCCUGUAUUUGUAGCUCUCUUGUUGAGGUGUUCUCUGGUGUUCUUUUAUACCCUGUACUGUAACUUAUUUCUUAACAUACUCCUGAAGUGUUGACAAACUGACAUUUAAUGUGACCUUCAGACAUAGACAUCCCUAUAAGAUUGAAACCGAGAAUCUAGUAAGAC
rnacentral:lncRNA from 1 species